AUGAACGCUGGCGGCGUGCCUAAUCCCUGCCAGUCGAGCGAACAGACGAGGAGCUUGCUCCUCUGACGUUAGCGGCGGACGGGUGAGUAACACGUGGAUAACCUACCUAUAAGACUGGGAUAACUUCGGGAAACCGGAGCUAAUACCGGAUAAUAUAUUGAACCGCAUGGUUCAAUAGUGAAGGACGGUUUUGCUGUCACUUAUAGAUGGAUCCGCGCCGCAUUAGCUAGUUGGUAAGGUAACGGCUUACCAAGGCAACGAUGCGUAGCCGACCUGAGAGGGUGAUCGGCCACACUGGAACUGAGACACGGUCCAGACUCCUACGGGAGGCAGCAGUAGGGAAUCUUCCGCAAUGGGCGAAAGCCUGACGGAGCAACGCCGCGUGAGUGAUGAAGGUCUUCGGAUCGUAAAACUCUGUUAUUAGGGAAGAACAAAUGUGUAAGUAACUAUGCACGUCUUGACGGUACCUAAUCAGAAAGCCACGGCUAACUACGUG
rnacentral:rRNA from 1 species